AAGAUUUAAUGGCCACCAGUCAGGGGUAGGAAGAAGAAAAAUGAAUUGGAAUUGAGUGCCAACAGAAGAAUAAACUAUCUGUUUCAAGACUCGGUGGUGGUGUGGCAGGGAUGCAGUACAUAUUUUGUUGUAAGAGCCAGAGGUAUUUGUUUCGCUUACAAAUCACAUCUACAGACAGGCAGUUUCCUAUGUUGGUGCCGGGGUUCCUGAAGGGGAUCGGAUCUCAGGAGAUGACUCUGCACACAGUGAAGCUGGCACUCGUCAUCCUAAGUUAAAAGCAACGAGUGGUGCCUCUACAGCCUGGCAUUGAGCCAGAUGAGACAUUCAAGGCAAAGUCAUCAUAUAAGUAGCAGUUACACACUUCAAAAACAAGACUUUGGGUGCAAGGCUAUGCCCCUAAGAAAACAAGAUCUUAAUUCAUGGAGAGAGAAAUAUAUUUUCACAGUAGCAUACGGACAGACUAUAAGUUGAGGGGAUCACUUUUCUUCAACAAAAAAGGAAGUUUGGGCAUAGGAGACCUCAAACCCUGGAAAAGAGUAAGUGUCCAGCUGUUCGGGGAUACUAUCUGGCCAGCGGGAGAUCCUCCCAGAGAGACUCUGUAUGUUUAUGCCACAUUUCACUUACUUUUGAAAACCUAUGUGAACAUGAAGAAAACUGCCUUAUUUCCACAUUAAAAUCUUCAUCAUUUGU